rnacentral:rRNA from 1 species
UACGGAGGGUGCGAGCGUUGUCCGGAAUCAUUGGGCGUAAAGGGCGCGUAGGCGGCUUUAUAAGUCGGGGGUGAAAGCCUGUGGCUCAACCACAGAAUUGCCUUCGAUACUGUAGAGCUUGAGACCGGAAGAGGUAAGUGGAACUGCGAGUGUAGAGGUGAAAUUCGUAGAUAUUCGCAAGAACACCAGUGGCGAAGGCGGCUUACUGGUCCGGUUCUGACGCUGAGGCGCGAAAGCGUGGGGAGCAAACAGG